AGGUCACUGUAGUUGUAUUUAUAUACAGGAGUUUUUAUUUCAGUGUAUCAACCUGCCAGCUUAACUACAGAGAGCAAAGCACUGAAAAGAGUCAGUGAACUUGCCCAGUUUUGUGGUGUGAAGGAUAUGGAGUUUUCCAGUUGCUGGAAGAGGAAUGCAGGUGAGUUUAGGUUUAUGACAUAAAAUGGGAGACAAGCUCAGUGGAGCUUCCACAAAUCUGGGUUCUAGAGGUGAUACAAAGAGGAAGAACCAAUGGCUGGGCAAUGUCCAGAUGUGUAAGGGAGCUAAACUGUGAGUUAAAAUCACCUUAUGUUUAACAUGAAGCACCAUACGUUACCUCAUAUGGACAUAAAUGUAGCUUGGGAGCGUGGGGGAUGUGGAUCCAAGGUGUUUUUCACCCCCCAAAUCACAGUUCUUUUUAUCUGUGACUUUUUCCUAACCCAGGCACUAGUGCUGCAUUCCCACUGCAGAAACGGGUUCCUGGCAGUGCUGCUGUUGGCAGUCAGCCUGCACUGCUGCUGCAUUUUCCUAAUGAACGAAGGGUACUUUGACUGGAGGAUCUCCAGCACUAGCUCAUGGAGCUGCAUUUCCUCCUGCAGAUGCCAGCUUCCCUUGGGCUGCAAGGAGACAGGGACUGCAACCCCAGUACCAAGACAGGGAGCGAGGGGGGACCUGCUGUUUCCUGGAAGGGAGACAAUGCCAGGCAAGUCUGUUCUCUGAGCAGCUCCAUCUUCUGGUACUAUGGGAGAAGUUACAGGGGUUUAGGGUGUUGGUUUUGGAAAGUAAGACUAAGGAAUCCGGUUGUAAUGGAUAUGUAGUUAAAGAAGAGGAAAAUAAUGCUUUAAAAUGAUGAGGGAAGCCCAGUUAGCCUAUGUAAGUAAUGCAACUUCACUUACAAGCUUAACAACUGCACUUUUACUAUUCUAAGUGACUGAGACAUUUCUCUUGCCAGUCUAUAAGCCUGCAUUACUCAGUGGUAUUUAGUUGGCCUUGCAAAUUGUAGGCAGCCUCUGACUCAGCUGUAAUGUAGUCAUUUUCAGUUGUUUCCAAGGUGCUAACACUGCUUUUCUUCUUGAACAGAUCUUCCAGUUAAUUUUUCUGCCCUUUUAGAUGUUGUAUGCCUGGGAAUGUUACAUCUCUAGAUGGGAGCUUUCCCUCAUUUGCUACAUAAGUAAAUAGUCUUUGCCCAAGUAAGAGGUUUACAGCCUCCAUUGUCUGCAAGAUUUUCUCCCCCUUCCUGUAUCUUGAAGUUUAGGAAUGAUUGAUACUUUUAUUAUCAGUGUUGUAGCCUAGAAGAGUACAGACAUCACCUCCAACUCUUAUGCAAAAUUGAAUUACACUUUACUUUUUAAUUGGACUUAGAACAGUAACUGAUCAAGGACCCACCUGAAGUAUCUAGGGUCCAAUUUUACAGGGUGAAUACUGUCUGUCACUCCAUUGCAGUGAUGCAUUGCAUCAUGCAUUACCACUUCCAUUGCCACGUUCCUGCUUUUACGCCCGUUUCUUAUCCAAAGACUCUUGUCUAAACCCCUGGUUUAGCAAAACUUAAAAUCUGAAUGUUUACAUAUAAGCCCACCAAAGCCUGUUACAAUAAAUGCACACUCAAUAACAUCUUGUGUUACUGUGUUACUAUGUUUUGUAGCAGAUCUGCUAAGCAGUGAAUGCCUUGCU
ensembl:lncRNA